rnacentral:misc_RNA from 1 species
UCCGAGUUGACCCCGGCAGUCUCCCAUGAGUCCCCGGCAUAACCCGCUGGCAACACAGGACAAGGGUUGCGCUCGUUGCGGGACUUAACCCAACAUCUCACGACACGAGCUGACGACAACCAUGCACCACCUGUACACCGGCCAAAAAGGGGCACCCAUCUCUGAGUGUUUCCAGUGCAUGUCAAGCCUUGGUAAGGUUCUUCGCGUUGCAUCGAAUUAAUCCGCAUGCUCCGCCGCUUGUGCGGGCCCCCGUCAAUUCCUUUGAGUUUUAGCCUUGCGGCCGUACUCCCCAGGCGGGGCACUUAAUGCGUUAGCUACGGCACGGAACCCGUGGAAACAGGCCCCACACCUAGUGCCCAACGUUUACGGCAUGGACUAC